GAUGAACGCUGGCGGCGUGCCUAAUACAUGCAAGUCGAGCGAACAGACGAGGAGCUUGCUCCUCUGACGUUAGCGGCGGACGGGUUAGUAACACGUGGAUAACCUACCUAUAAGACUGUGAUAACUUCGGGAAACCGGCGCUAAUACCGGAUAAUAUAUUGAACCGCAUGGUUCAAUAGUGAAAGACGGUUUUGCUGUCACUUAUAGAUGGAUCCGCGCCUCAUUAGCUAGUUGGUAAGGUAACGGCUUACCAAGGCAACGAUGCGUAGCCGACCUGAGAGGGUGAUCGGCCACACUGGAACUGAGACACGGUCCAGACUCCUACGGGAGGCAGCAGUAGGGAAUCUUCCGCAAUGGGCGAAAGCCUGACGGAGCAACGCCGCGUGAGUGAUGAAGGUCUUCGGAUCGUAAAACUCUGUUAUUAGGGAAGAACAAAUGUGUAAGUAACUAUGCACGUCUUGACGGUACCUAAUCAGAAAGCCACGGCUAACUACGUG
rnacentral:rRNA from 1 species